rnacentral:misc_RNA from 1 species
UAAUACACCUUCUAGGGUUUUCAGGAGAAAAUAGAGAAAUUUAAAAAGCUAUAUGUGAGAGGAACAAGGGUUUUAUUUCUGAAGGCAAGCUUAGGCAAAACUUGAAUUACAUCAAACUGAGACUCUCAUUAUAUAGAGGGAAGAGCUCUAACUUUUACAAGCUACCGGUUAGUGACCGGUUUCACGAGCACACAGAAUAUACUUUAAAUAAAGUAAAAGUAAAAGUACAUCAUUAUUUUAUUGGUGGUCGACACUCCCGCUAAUCAUGGAGAAGUGGAUAGGUUGCAAUUCCUAUAAUCAAAAUCAUCCGAGUCAAUAUCUUCGAAAAAUGGUUCAUACCAGGGUCCACGCUCUUCAAGAGAUGGUGAGACAGCACUUUCAAUGGCUUCACGUGCUUCAACAUCCAUGGGGUCUUGAGAAUCUUGCCAAAGA